ACCAAGGAGUCUAACAUGUGCGCGAGCCGCGGGGCAGUACGAAACCCGUAAGGCGAAAUGAAGGUGAACGCCGGCGCGGUCCGGCGGAGGUUGGAUCCCGUCCCGUCCGGGCGGGCGCACUACCGGCCGAUCUUCUCCGCCCUGUCGGCGAGGUCGAGCGAGAGCGUGCAAGUCGGGACCCGAAAGAUGGUGAACUAUGCCUGAGGAGGUUGAAGCCAGAGGAAACUCUGGUGGAGGACCGUAGCGAUUCUGACGUGCA
rnacentral:ncRNA from 1 species